rnacentral:sRNA from 1 species
GUAGAAUCUCUUUCCUGGAAAGGAUUCUUGUAGUGACUGCCAUGGAACACAGACAGACCUAUGGGAACACACGGGAACCUCUUUUAGAAAACCUGACAAGCGAAUAUGACUUGGAUCUUUUCCGAAGAGCACAAGCCCGGGCUUCAGAGGAUUUGGCCAAAUGUGUGUGGAAACACCCACCUGGUGAUGAGAUAUAUCGCAAAGGUUCAAUCUCUGUGUUUGAAGUGGAUGGCAAGAAAAACAAGAUCUACUGCCAGAACCUGUGCCUGUUGGCCAAACUUUUUCUGGACCACAAGACAUUAUAUUAUGAUGUGGAGCCCUUCCUGUUCUAUGUUAUGACAGAGGCGGACAACACUGGCUGUCACCUGAUUGGAUAUUUUUCCAAGGAAAAGAAUUCAUUCCUCAACUACAACGUCUCCUGUAUCCUUACUAUGCCUCAGUACAUGAGACAGGGCUAUGGCAAGAUGCUUAUUGAUUUCAGUUAUUUGCUUUCCAAAGUCGAAGAAAAAGUUGGCUCCCCAGAACGUCCACUCUCAGAUCUGGGGCUUAUAAGCUAUCGCAGUUACUGGAAAGAAGUACUUCUCCGCUACCUGCAUAAUUUCCAAGGCAAAGAGAUUUCUAUCAAAGAAAUCAGUCAGGAGACGGCUG